rnacentral:tRNA from 1 species
AUGAUACUAGUAAAAUAGUUAUUACACUGCCUUGUCAAGGCAAAGUUACAGGUUAAAAUCCUGCGUAUCAUA